rnacentral:lncRNA from 1 species
AUUCCAUCAACAAAGUUUCAUUACAAUCAGAUGGUAAGACAAAUACAAGCAAUUUUUCCAAAUUAACCGAAGUCUAAAAGUUCACAAAAGCUGAAUAAUUUUGGUUAACUUGAACAUUACCCUCGAAGGGUAUAAUCGCUUCAACAGGCGAGGCAGAGCCAGAGUAUGAAUGUUAGCUAGCUCAAUAGUAGGCACGACCACACAUGAAGGAAUGGCCUGGGAAUCCGUAGGUUGGAAAGGUUCGAUAGGAAUGGAUAAAGUAUCUAGAGCCUCAGGGGCCAAUGGAGAAACCUCGAGAGAUAGGUGUGCUCGACAUCUUCUUUGCGAAUCUCCAGAAAGUCCAAAUAUUACUCAGGGUGAAAACUCCUGAUGGUAUGAAGAACCUUAUUACCCUCCUCCUGAAUAGCUUCCUCAAUAAGUUGUCUCACGAACACUCAUUUCAGAGAGGCUAGACUCUGCAAUAUCUAAUUUUGUCUCAUUACUUUCUAAAUUGACUGCAAACCAAGACCAUUUCAUUCCUAAUGUAUUUGGAAGUAACAUACUGGCCAGCUCUUGCCAAUUGGAGCUCUUCUCUAAGACAUGAAAAUUCACGAUCAGUCUUGUUGACGUAAAGCUCCAUGGCUCUCUUUAGCCACUCUAGAUCCUUGGAGACCUCCCUAACAUUGGCCACUAGGGAAGCUUCCGUUGUAACAAAAGUUUAAGCACCUUUGCUCCUCUCUUUGUAUUAGGACUUCCCCUUCUCGGCUUUCCCCAACUUUUUCUGAAGGGUAUCACACCUCUUUUCCUAGGAAUAAACUUUCUUAUCCAGGGUAUCAGCUUGCAGAAUACAAACCUCAUAUUCAAUCAUUUUCCUACUUUACGUAGGGAAAGCUUCUCCGCAAAUUUUUUCCAAGAUUUAUUAAAAUAUUUACGGAUCUCGUAUAAACUCCAAAAAGCCUUGGAGCUGAAGCAGUAGCAAAGAAAUUUCACCCUCUAACCCCAUGGGAGGAUAAGGGUCGCUUGGUCGUGCCCUUGACCACCUCCAAUGGUAUAUUCCUAUCCUUGGAUCCUUUAGAAGCCAAUUCCUUAGGACGGGAGGCAUUGAAUUUUCUUGGCACUUACGGACUGUCAAAGGAUUUGAGUUAAAAUUAAUUUGCAUUGUGAAAGAAAAAAAUUAGAAAUUAUCUAAAAUAGAGGAAUCAAGAAAAAAAAUAUGUGCUACCAAAGCAAGAAGAUCGCUAAGAGCUCGACUACAAAGAGGGCCUGAUUGUUUAUAUACGUAUACAAACAUAGUAAAUAAGGAAAAACCAGACUUAAAAAUAAAAAAAAACAGGCAAGGAACUAACACUUAUUAUAUUCUAGUAACGUCGAGGCAAAACGAUGGAAGAGUUGUGAUCAUUGGUUGGAGCCUACAAUUGCCAAGAACAAAGUAAAAGCCUUCUUUCUAGUUAUGCACCUUAUUAGGAGUAGUUACAAGUUUUCGGCAUAUUCUAGGAGGACGAGAGUACAAUACAUCUGAUGAAAGCUCACCCUCUAAACCCGAAAAUUUCCACAACAAAAAUGACCUACCAUGAUAAAGCAACACCUCACUGUAUAAACUUCCAUGGAAGAAGGGAAAAACACUAGGGGGUUAUUGCUAAGCUUAGAACUUUCAAUUUCACAGUCAUGAG